CACUGGCGUCUAGCCCCGGGUAUGCAACUAAUGAUCCUUCUUUUUUGACAUGCGCUUGGUGAAGUUAGUCAUAAGUUAGUUAGGUUAGAAUACUGUUCGGCAAGUUGUGUGUUGUUUUAAAGUGUCGUUUUUUCGUUAGUAUUGUAAAACUUUAUUAAUUUUGGGUGAAAUUAUACAACUACAUUAAAUAAGACUAAAAGUUAAAUGUAGUGGAUAAUAUAAAAUAAGAAAUACCGGAAAUACCUUUCAAGUUGGUGAAAUUUUAACUUUUAUGUUUAUUUUUACUUUUAUUUGUAUGUAUAAAUCCACCUUUUGUUAAUUUAUUUGCGAUUAUAUGGAAGUGCAUUUAAGACAAUAAAAAAAAAUGGAGGGGCAACAUACGUGUGUGCAGUGCAGCAAAAAAUACAGUAACAUUAGCAAUCUAAGAAAGCACGUCAUCAAGUUUCAUCCUAAUAAUGAUGAUUAUCUAGCUUCCCUGCAAAUACGACAAAAUAAACAUUAUAAUUUUGCUUGUGACCAGUGUAAAAAACAUUUUACGCAUUUAAGAAAUUUAAAAUUCCACAUCAGAACACAUAGAAGCUCAAAUAACACUUCAGCUCCAUAUAUUACACCUCCCAAUACCUCGACCACUACCAAUGCAAAUCAGUGUGCUUUGUGCAGUGACUUUUGUGCUGAUAGGAAGACCGUUAUAGAACAUUAUAGAGACUUUCAUAACAUUCCUAUUGAACAUAAAAAAUUGACGUUUCAAAGUGAGGAAGAAUUUAUUACUUGGAAGCUUACCUUUGAAAAUGACACAAACUGUAAAUAUGUGGUUAACUAUCAGAAAUGUUUUAAAUCACAUGUAGCUACAAGUUUUAUUUGCCAUCGUUCAGGAAGAUAUGUUCCAGAAGGCAAAAAUAUUCGGCACUUAAAGAUACUAGGAAGUAAGAAAAUAAAUGCACUCUGCCCAGCAAGCAUAAAAAUAAAAAAGCUUAAUAAUGGCACUUGUGAAGUGACCAUUAUGGACAAACAUGUGGGACAUCAGAAUGACAUCGGCCACUUGAAUUUGUCUAAAACAGAAAGAGAGAAUUUAGCAGUAAAAAUUUCUUCUAAAGUCCCAUUUGAAGAUAUUUUAGACGAAAUUAGAGAUUCAAUCACUGACUCAGAACUAAAACGUCUGCAUCUGCUCACAAAGAAAGAUCUAUAUAACAUAGAAGCCUGUUUCAAUUUGUGCUCCUCAUCAGUUAGACAUAAAAACGACAUCAUAAGUGUAGAGUCCUGGAUCAAUGAUAUGCAAGGUAAUGGAGAUGCAGUUCUGUUUUAUAAGCCCCAAGGUUCUGAAAGUGAAGAAUGGCCAAUGUUAAAAAAUGAGGAUUUUGUUUUGAUUAUCAUGACUGCUGCACAAUGUGAAAUGCUUAAAAUUUAUGGGACCGAUUGCAUCUGUAUAGAUGGAACUCAUGGGAUGAAUAACUAUGACUUCGAACUUAUAACUCUCCUUGUUGUUGAUGAUAUUCGUCAGGGAUUUCCUUGCAGUUUUCUUGUGUCAAAUAGGUCUGAUAAACAAGUUUUAAAAUAUUUUUUCACUUUGUAAAAUCUCGCCUUGGUAAUGCACUUUGCCCAAAUGUCUUCAUGUCAGAUAUGGCAGAAGCUUUCUUCAAUGCAUGGAUUGAAAUAAUGUCUCCACCAAAAUUCAGAUUAUACUGUUCAUGGCACGUUGACCAGGCGUGGCGUAAGAAUUUAUCAAAAAUCAACACCAAAGAAAAGCAAGCUUUUAUUUAUAAGAAUUUAAGAGCUGUCUUAGAAGAAAGGGAUGUCACAACUUUUAAUAUUUUAAUUAACAAGUUAUAUACUAUGUUACUUGAAGAUCCUGAUACAAUGGAAUUUGCCAACUAUUUUAAUAAGUAUUACAUGUGCUGUGUAGAAUGUUGGGCAUACUGCCACCGACUUGGUGCGGGUUUAAAUACAAACAUGCAUUUAGAACGUAUGCACAAAACACUAAAAUAUACUUAUUUAAAAGGAAAGAAAGUCAAGCGAUUGGACAAGGCAAUCAACGCAAUAAUGCGAUUUGUAAGAGACAAAUGCAUUGACAGGUUAAUAGUUCUUAACAAGGGGAAGAUGAGCAGUAAGCUGCAAAUAAUUCGGUCCAGGCACAAACAAAGUUUAAAAUUGAGGGAAGAUUUAGUAGUCGAGUGUGAAAAUAGAUGGAACAUUGCCUCAGAAACAACAGCAGAAUUAUAUGUUAUUCAGAAGGUUCAACGAGAUUGUAAAUGCCAACUACUGUGCAAUGAGUGUAAAACUUGCAUCCAUCAGUUUUGCUGUUCUUGUCUUGACUCGUCAGUUAAAUACAACAUGUGCAAACAUAUUCAUCUUUUGAUCAGAUAUAUUUCUCAAUGUGUAACUGACUCACUGGAGCAUCCUCAAGAACUUGAGUCUGACUACGUCUGAAACUGGCGCCGUUUGGAAAUGCACUACAACUGCGACUAGUCUCUAAAUCAGAGCAGUAGUGAAAGGGCAAGAAGUUACCAAAAUUUAGAAGUAACGAAUCAAGUGUAGGCAUUUUAAACAUAAGACAUUUAUUUGUCGCAAGUUAAAACCAUUUUAAGAAGACUAAAGUUAAGAAGUACAGUAAAAGCUCUUUAUUCGCGGGAUAUACGUUCCGUAAAUAUGCCGCGAAUAAAGAAACCGUGAAUAUAGAAUGGUAAUUUAUAUAGGAUUGUAGGGGAUACGUUCCUAGGUUACAAAAUAACAAACAAGUACAUACAUAGGUACAUAUAUAAAAAAUAAAUUUAAUUGAAGUUUCUGACCAUAUUGAGUAAUUAUUACCUUCAGGCUUCGGCAAUGGCUUAAAGAAAUUUGUAAUUUCUUGCUUGGCAUUUUUUAAAAGCUCCUUCAAUUCAUACUGAUAUUCAGCAGUGGCAUUAGCAAUUUGCCUCUUAAAAAUAAGACUUCGUUCCAUAGAUGGAUCAAUUUUCAUAAAAAAAUCACAAAGUUCAUAUGCCAUUCUUAAACCUUCGCUAAGAUUUUUUGAAUUAAAUGUCACGUUUCCAGUGCUUGUUGAAGCCUCUUCUUCAAUAGGCUGCGAAUUUAACAUUUCCUCCAAGUCCGUUUCAGUCAAAUCUUCAUCUGGCGAUUUAAGCAACAUCUGAAUGUCAUUUGAUUCUAUCUGUUCGAACCCAUUUCGUCCCAUAUCAUUCGCAAUUUCGGCUACGUUUGCAUUCAAAGUUUGAAUUUGCACAGAUUCUUCGUCAUUUCCUGUAGUCAGAGCGGCCUGUGUCAAAGGAACCAAUACGGCGGCGAUAUUAUUUAACAAUAUACUCGGGGUAUAGUUGUAAUAAGGUCAAUUUUACUUUUUUAUUACACCAUUUCACGUUGCGUUUACAAAGGAUAUUCCGUUGAAUCCUUUUAUCAAUAUAUAUGCACCGACGUACUGAUUCGAUCCGCGAAUAAAGAAAUUUUUAGCCGCGAAUAUAGGAAUUGGGUCGCAUUUUUUUAAUCCGCGAAUAGUGAAAACGCGAAUGAAGGAAUCGCGAAUAAAGAGCUUUUACUGUAUUAACACAAUAUACUUUUUGUGCUUUCGGUUUUGAUGGCCUCUUCUUCUUGGGUCAACUGGCUAAAAUAUUAUAUGCUUGUUCGAUUUACGAUUUCCGACCCCUAAAGGGUGAUGCUGGGAUAAUUUAUUACAAAAAACAUUAAUAAUCAAUUAAUAAAAAUAAUCAAUAAACAUUAAAGACAAUCAGUAUGUAUGAACUCAAAGCACAGCGGUUGUACAUCUGUAAAAAGUGCUUAAAAAAAAAGAGGUAUACAGGAGACAUUUAAUUUUAUAUUAUUAACAAAGUUCUGUCAAUCACCUCCUCACGUACAUACAGCUAACCACCUUCCUUUGCUCCAGAACUCUUAAAUUGUACUCGUGUCAGUUCGGGCUUUUCAGAUCAUGAAGCUAUAUUAACCAGCUUCUCUUUGGAUUCAAUUAACAAUAGCACUUUGCGUAAAUUAGGACGUGUUUAUAACAAAAAUAAUUUUCUAAAUUUUAAGAAUCAUUGUCUAACGGAAAACUGGAACUUUCUUUCAAAUGAUGUCGAUAAUGAGUUCUCCAGAUUCUUAAAUUCGCUAUCAGAUAUUGCAAAUAUAUCUUUUCCUCUAAGGCCAAUUAAAACUAAAAAACAAAAGCCCUGGUCCUCCAAAGAUCUUCGUGUAUCGGCAAAAAACAUGCGCUCGCUUUCUUACCUAAAAAAGUUCUCAGAAUCUAUUGCUUUUCAUAAUUACGUCAAGCAGUAUAGGAAAACUUAUCUUAAAACAAUUAAGGCUGCAAAAAAAAUCUAUUACAGCGGGAGGCUGGCAAGAUCUGGCAAUGUAGCUAAAGAAACAUGGUCUAUUGUUAACGAACUAAGAAAUAAGUCUACCUCAACUAGCACUAUCUCUACAUCACCCGAGGACCUAAACAAUUACUUUGUAAACGUGGCAAAAAAUCUAAUGGCCACCAUAACAUCUUCUGAUGAUCCUCUGUCAUAUCUCUCUAAUGAAAAAUUGCACAAUUUCUUUUUUACGCCAGUAUCAUUUACAGAACUUCAAAGUACAAUUAACGAAAUAAAAAACAAAUCAUCAGCUGGUACAGAUGGGCUUACUCUUAAAAUGUUUUCAAAUAUGCCUGAUUGUACUCUAAUCCAUUUAGUAGACCUAAUCAACAUGUCAUUUCAAAAUGGGUCUUUCCAAACUGCCUUAAAACUGCAAUAAUCAUUCCAUUACAUAAAGGAGGAGAUAAAGAUCAAGCUUCAAACUAUCGUCCAAUUGCACUUCUUCCAACCCUCUCAAAGAUCAUAGAACGCCUGGCUAAAAAAAGGUUUUUGUCAUUUUUGUUUAAAUAUAAUAUCUUAACCGCUUAUCAGUUUGGAUUUCUGAGCAAAAAAUGCACCAAUGAUGCUAUGUUCUCCCUAUUUAACAGCGUUUAUUCAAAUAUCAACCAAAAUGACUUAACAGCAACAAUUUUCUGUGACUUUUCAAAGGCUUUCGAUUGCGUAAACCACAUUAUUUUAAUUAACCAAUUGCAGCACUAUGGAUUCAGAGGUAUAUCCCUUUAAUGGUUUAAGUCAUAUUUGUGCAACAGAAGUCAACCUGUAAAGGUCGAUACGUCAAGAUCUUCUUGUAAACCAAUUGAAUGUGGGGUACCUCAAGGUUCCGUUUUGGGUCCUAUGCUCUUUCUGCUGUUUAUAAAUGACCUGGCCAGCCUGAACAUAAGCGGAAAAAUCUGUCUUUUUGCUGAUGAUACUAGCUUCACUUGGAGCAAUCCGAAUGCAAUGGCACCACAUACAACAAUUUCCAACGACUUGGUCUUCAUUAAAUCGUGGUGCGAUUCCAAUCUUUUAUGCCUAAAUCUCUCAAAAACUAAAGUCUUAUCAUAUAAAACGACCAUUCCUCCAUUUAUUCUAAACAAUACCAGUUUGGAGGUUGUUGAGUCUGUCAAGUUCUUGGGUCUUGUUGUGGACGGCUCUUUGAAAUGGAAUUUGCACAUAGAUACGUUAUCUAAAAAACUAAGCUCGGCAUGUUUUGCCAUCAAUCUCAAGAGAAUUAGGCUUUUUCACGGCCAAAAGAGUUUAUUAUGCUCUUUUUGAGUCACAUCUUCGUUACGCCCUUCCAUUCUGGGGUACAUGCUGCAAGACCCAAUUUGAGCGUAUAUUUAAACUUCAAAAGAGAGCGCUUCGCUACUGCCUUAUCCGCAACCAUGUGUCGCAGAUUCCAGAAAGACUAUCCCACAGCUAUUCACUAAGGAACGUUGAUCAUAAUCUUCAUCUGCCAAUUCCACGGUCGGAAUUAGUAAAGAACUCUUUACUUUAUGCAGCAAUAAAAAUGCACAACAAAUCUGCCUUCCGUAAUAAAAUCGAUGACUACUUUUAGUUGUUUUCGCAAUGCCCUAAAAUCUUUACUACUGCAAAAAGCCCUAUAUACAGUAGAAGACUUUUUUAAUAUUUCCUUUUAAAGCACACACACUGGCGUUAUUAGUUACCUAUUAUUUGCAAAAUGUUUGCCUGCUUUUUAUUGUAUGUUUUUUUUUUGAGACUAAGGUUUUUGACAAUUUUAUACAUAUAAUUGUGUGUAUAUUUGUAUAUAAAAAUUAUUUUAUUUAUGUAUUUCGACCAAAUUAUACAAUUUGAUAAUUUGUACAGUAUUUUUGUUUUGUUAUGUAUUUACUUUGUGUGUAUUUUAUCUGAGUAUUUUUUUAUGUUUAUUUAUUUAUAUUUGUAUUUUUUUUCCUUUAGCUUUGUCGACAAAAUGUAAAUUUUCUGACAAUAAAGCAUUUUUGAUUGAUUUUUUUGAUUGACUAACCUCACCUCACUUUGAUAUGUCGGGGACAUAACGGGAACUCUCAUCAUGUGACACAU
rnacentral:misc_RNA from 1 species